AAGCUCUUGUAGAGCUUUUUUUAAAUACCUUCUUCGCUUGAAAUUCUUGUUUAUUUAAUAGAAAUAAGCUAUAAUAAAGCAUAGCACUUAAUUUUAGAAAGAAGGUGUAAGU
rnacentral:sRNA from 18 species